CACUGCAGUGAGUCUUGUUGUAGUCACCUGUGGAGAGGAAUGAUGAAUUCCAGGUGGAAAAGGUGUGGUGAAGGGCUCAUAAGAUGAUCAGGAGACUGGGAGCUAUUAUUUCUUGAGGGAACUAAAAGAGUUUGCCUUGAUUAAUCAAAGAAAAUGAAGUCUGAGGAAGAUAUUACUGCUCCUUUUAAAUACCAAAUGUCAAGGAGACAGAGGAGAUAUUGAAAGCCAGAAGAAAAAGCUGAUCCAAGACAAAUGACCAUACGUUUGUUCUGGCUGGAAAUGAGGAGGAAGAGCAAGACUCUGAAUGACCACUUUGCUGGUGUAUUGGAAGCAGUGUGGCCAAUGUGUGACCAAUCCAUGACAGCAAGGACUGACCUCAGUGAUUUGGGGAUUGCUGUCAGGCCACUGGUUCAGAGCUUUACUGAUCUGGAACAGAGGAUGGGCUCCGUGCAGCAGCACCCUCAGCCCAGCCACAAGGCAGGGAGGUGCUGGGUUUGCUUCCAUAGCUUGCCCUGCUUCCUCCCAUUGAAAUUCUGCCUGGUUGUCUCCUUUUUGUUUCCUUCCUGCUUAAAGGCUCCUGUGGUUCCCCUAUGCUCUCAGUUAAAGCCUUGUUCUAUGGAUCAGUUAAAGCUGGGCUGAAGGUAGUCUGCUAUUUUGGAGCUCGAAGGGGCUGAAAUAGUUAUCUCCGAACAGACCUGGACGUCUUAAAAACUGUGUUGUUUUGAUUUGCUGAAUGAAUUGCAGUUCAUGUUGGAUCUCAGAGUAUUUCUUUUGCUUCUGGACUAGGAAUUGAUCAUGCAUCAUAGAGGGGGC